CUGCCCUGUUAAAUUCUUAGUUUAUCAAAUGAACUGUCAAAAUCCAAAGUUAUAACUAGUAAUUAUAUACCUAAGACAAAACAACUGAGCAGGAGACAGCACUGUAGGACAGUGCAACCAUGGGGAUAAUCACAUUGGAAGAGGAAGCGGUUCUUGUUUAUGACAGAAAUGGGGGGAAAGAGGGAGUGGUAUCCCCAGGAAAAAGAAUAACACAUUGAAGGGACUCUUAGUAUGGUAGUCUCUAGACUAUGUCCCUUAAAUAUCUAUUCCCCUACACUCAAGUUGCCUCUCCCUAGUCAUGGCUCUGUCAAAAUUAUAAUACUAUGGUUUUGUAAAAUAUUUUUAGUCAAAAUUCUCAAAUAAUUAUUCUCAAACUAAUCCAGAAUCCUUUUCUAAUUUAUUUAUGUGCUUUAUCUCUAUCUAAAUGGGCUGAAUAGAAUAUAAUUAUAUAAUAUAGAAAAUAGUAAUAUACCUUUUUUUUUUUUUAGCACAGAUAACUUUGCUUUGUUUUCUAACAAUAAUUGUAAAAACAUGUUGUAGGGUCACUGAUAUUACUAAAACUUGUAAUCUCAUCUAAACUCUCCUGUCUAGCCUCCUAAUAGCACUUCAAAUUUUCUUUUUAGUAGUUUUUAACCUUCAAGUCUUCACUUUCAAGAUGUCUAUGAUGAAGUGAAGAGGCAGAAUACAGACAAGUGAAGAUCAUUAAUAUGAUAUGGGGAAUUAGAAAAAGUUUCCUAGAUGAAAGAGCAACAGAGCCUUGAAGAAAAGGACACUGAAAGAGAUGAGGUACUUAUGAUCUAGGAAUAUCCAAUCAAGACUUCAGAAUCAUGAUAAAACAUGUCUCCUAGAAGAAAAGUGAUGGACUAAAGAUGCAGAAUGAAGCAAAGAUUUCCAGACAUGAGCACUAUAUAAUUUUGCUUUGCCUGAACAUACCUAUUUCUUUUAGCAAGGACUUCUAUGGGGGAAUCUGGGAGGAUGAAUUAGUAAGAAGUAACAAACAUCCUAUUUCCCCUCACUCUGCCAAAAAAAGAAAAGGACAUCAAUAAAAGUUUGGAAGAGUGUUA